AUAUUGCACAAUGGGCGCAAGCCUGAUGCAGCAACGCCGCGUGCGGGAUGACGGCCUUCGGGUUGUAAACCGCUUUUAGUAAGGAAGAAGCCCCUUGGGGUGACGGUACUUGCAGAAAAAGGACCGGCUAACUACGUGCCAGCAGCCGCGGUAAUACGUAGGGUCCGAGCGUUGUCCGGAAUUAUUGGGCGUAAAGAGCUCGUAGGCGGUUUGUCGCGUCUGCUGUGAAAACUAGAGGCUCAACCUCUAGCCUGCAGUGGGUACGGGCAGACUUGAGUGGUGUAGGGGAGACUGGAAUUCCUGGUGUAGCGGUGGAAUGCGCAGAUAUCAGGAGGAACACCGAUGGCGAAGGCAGGUCUCUGGGCACUUACUGACGCUGAGGAGCGAAAGCGUGGGGAGCGAACAGG
rnacentral:rRNA from 1 species